CCAUCCCCUCAAGCUCCGCUUGGCUGGUUGGGCCGACGCCCCCCGUGGCUUUGUGCCCGGGGGGACGGGCCCGAAAGGCAGUGGCGGCUCCCGGAGGGUUGGUCCCUUGGGGCGGUGAUACAUGGGUUGUCAUCUUCCACCGCUCUGUUGGCCACGCUCCGGGGGUCCAUCGAACGAUCGGUCUUCCCCUUUA
rnacentral:misc_RNA from 1 species